UACAGAGGUCCCAAGCGUUGUUCGGAUUCACUGGGCGUAAAGGGUGCGUAGGUGGUGAGGUAAGUCGGAUGUGAAAUCUCCGAGCUCAACUCGGAAAUGGCAUUGGAAACUACCUUGCUAGAGGGUUGGAGGGGGGACUGGAAUGCUUGGUGUAGCAGUGAAAUGCGUAGAUAUCAAGCGGAACACCAGUGGCGAAGGCGAGUCCCUGGACAGCUCCUGACACUGAGGCACGAAAGCUAGGGGAGCAAACAGG
rnacentral:rRNA from 1 species